rnacentral:rRNA from 1 species
GACGAACGCUGGCGGCGUGCCUAAUACAUGCAAGUUGAGCGCUGAAGGUUGGUACUUGUACCAACUGGAUGAGCAGCGAACGGGUGAGUAACGCGUGGGGAAUCUGCCUUUGAGCGGGGGACAACAUUUGGAAACGAAUGCUAAUACCGCAUAAAAACUUUAAACACAAGUUUUAAGUUUGAAGGAUGCAAUUGCAUCACUCAAAGAUGAUCCCGCGUUGUAUUAGCUAGUUGGUGAGGUAAAGGCUCACCAAGGCGAUGAUACAUAGCCGACCUGAGAGGGUGAGCGGCCAGCGUGGGACUGAGACACGGCCCAAACUCCUACGGGAGGCAGCAGUAGGGAAUCUUCGGCAAUGGACGAAAGACUGACCGAGCAACGCCGCGUGAGUGAAGAAGGUUUUCGGAUCGUAAAACUCUGUUGGUAGAGAAGAACGUUGGUGAGAGUGGAAAGCUCAUCAAGUGACGGUAACUACCCAGAAAGGGACGGCUAACUACGUG